AGAAUUCGUUAAAGUAGUACAUAAUUUCUUUUAAGUCCGGAAUCGUAACAUAGUGUCACCACCAAUGUCUCGCAGUGAAAAGUGGUUUUGGAUUUGUGAUGAAAAAUAUCAGAAAACUUUAAUAAUAAAAUGUUUUUAUCACAGUUAAAAAACUGACAAAAAUAAAUUGCAAAAUUCGUUGCCGUUCACGUAACGAAAUAAUGCAUCUGUGAGAGUGUGUUAGUGGAUAUAUUUUUUUGUUAUUACAUGUGCUCCAUGCGGUAUAAUAUUUUUUCUGGUUUUGGCAAACAUAUCUAACAAAAAAAAAAAAAUAUAAUAAAAAGUAAAAUUCAAUAAAUAAAAAAGUUUUAAAGUUUGCGUAAAGUAAAAAUAAAAUCGAAAAAUCAAUCCUUCCUCUACGUAACUUACUAACCUUAAAAACACUUAAAAUAUACGGGCAAACAAACCCCAUUCUAAGUAUACAAUCAACACAACAAACAGAUCCGAAAAGGAAAUAUCGGCAAUUGAAGCUGACCACCUUUUGCAAUUGGUAUCUAAAAUAAAUAAAAAAGGAUAAUGGAUACGUCCUCUGCUAUUAAAGAGGAAUCUAAGAUAAUGGAGAAUCACGAAAUUGAUAGUAUUUCGAAUACUCCUGCGGUUGCAGCACCACUAGUGGAUAUACCUCGUCUCAAGCUGAAGAAAAUGAACAAUGACCAUCAUGAGAAACGAGUGUAUAAAAUUGUACUUACUGGAGGUCCUUGUGGCGGAAAGACAACUGGACAGUCACGUUUAUGUACUUUUUUUGAAAAUCUGGGUUGGAAGGUAUUUCGUGUGCCUGAAACUGCAACUGUACUUCUCAGUGGAGGAGUUAAAUUUUCAGAUCUGACAGAGAAAGAAGCACCACCAACACCAUCCACAUUUAAGUAUAAAAAUCUUCCCUUUGCCGCUCCGGAACAUAGUCUUAUCGAUUUGACCGCAUCCUGUCCACGUUGCUUGGCGAAUGCUGCCUCUAAGCCCAAUGGCAGCGAAGCGUAUAAGUUUCAAGAAAAUCUUAUCCGUACCAUGAUUCAAAUAGAGAAUACUUAUUUUGAAUUGGGAAAGUCAAGUUCACGUAACUGCUUGAUUAUCUGUGAUCGUGGUGUUAUGGACGCAAGUGCUUAUAUUUCUAAGGAAAAGUGGGAGAAAAUGAUGGCUUCAAAUAAUUGGAAUCCAAUUGAAAUGCGUGAUAAUCGUUAUAAUCAAAUAUUGCAUUUGGUAUCAGCUGCCAAUGGUGCAGAAGAAUUCUACUCAACAGAGGAACAUGCUUGUCGGUCAGAAGGUGUUGGUUUGGCUCGUGAACUUGACUACAAGUCUGCUGCUGCUUGGGUGGGUCACCCAUACUUUGAUGUUAUUGAUAAUUCUACAAAUUUCGAAACAAAAAUGAAUCGAAUGAUUGAGUCUGUUUGUCAAAAGUUAGGUAUUGACAUUGGUGAUCGUUUGUUAGCAACGUCGAGAAAACUUAAAUUCCUGGUUGCUUCAUUGCCUCCGGACUCGGAAUUUCCACCUUUCCAAGAUUUCGAGGUUGAACAUCAUUAUUUGCAAUCAUCUGGACCUAAAGUCCAAGCUCGUCUUCGCAAACGUGGCCAAAAAAGUCAUUACAGCUAUAUACACACUAUUCGCCGUCCCAAUGUACACGGUCAGUCUCGUAUUGAAGUAAAGACUCAAUUAACACAACGUGACUACAUAAAUCUUUUGGCUCAGCGUGAUGAUGCCCAUUUUACAAUUUAUAAGAAACGUAGAUGCUUUUUAGUAAAUAAUCAAUAUUUCCAGUUGGAUAUAUAUAAAGAACCAACUCACCCCAGAUGCAAAGGUUUGAUACUUUUGGAAACGUAUUCUUCAUUAUCUGGAGAGGCUUUAAUGAAUUGUAUGCCAAAGUUCUUAAAUAUAGUCAAAGAGGUUACCGGUGAUGCCGAUUACUCCAUGUUUAAUUUGUCUUUGAAAGAAGAUUGGAGUAUAACAAAAAAAUUUUGCCAUUCAUUGUAUGAUGUUAAUACAAUUAAAAUAUAAUCUUCAUGGAAUAUUUAAAAGACAUUGAUGAGCAAUUGCUGUUGAUCAGAACUGAUAUAUAAAAUUCAGAGGAGUGUUCCGGCUACAAAGCAAAACAAGCAAAUGGAGUUUCGAAUAAACAAUUGGUUCUGAAUGGUCAUGCCAAGGGUUAGUUUAAAUUUAUCUAAAAAUAAAAUCUUUAAACAAUUUAUAUUUUAUAAGACUUUUCAAUGAACUUGACAUGAACCAAGUUUAAGGCAUACAUACAUUUUUAGUAUAUACUCAGUUUUAAGAUUGUGCAAUUGUUGAAUUGUUUUGGUUCAUGUCGAAAGUUACUUUUUAUAAAAAAAUUGGACUAGUUUAGAAAUCUCUCUUUUUGAAUCGUGUAUUUUUAUUUAAUAAAUUUAUAUUUGUACUACUAAAUUAAUACUGCAUAUGUGGACCAGCUUUAAAUUAUUAUAUAAAUAUUUUCAAUUUUUUUUUUAUAAUUAUACCUUUCGUUUUAUUGUAGCCGUAUUAAUGAAAUUCUGUAAAAGAAAUUUUUUUUUUAAUUUGCCUUUGUACUUAAUUAUGGAUAUAUUUUAAAUUUGUUGCCUGUUUAAUUAUAUACAUUUUAUAGCGAUAAUUUAAAGUUUGUUUUACUUAAAAUUUUCAUAAUAGAAAUAUUUAAAUAUAUAAAAUUAUGAUAACGUUAACUAAAUUAAAUUUAUUAUAAACAAAAGAAAGAAGCUGAAAAUACAAUUGUAAUUUAUAAGUCCUAUAUUUUAGAAAAUCUAUUAUUUUAUUAGUAAUAAACAACUUAAAUCCUAAAAAGAUGCUAAAAUCAAUAAAUAAAUAAAUAAAUAAAUA